rnacentral:tRNA from 1 species
GGAGAUGUGGCCGAGUGGCCGAAGGCACUUCCCUGCUAAGGAAGCAUUUGGGGUAACCUGAAUCGUGAGUUCGAAUCUCACCAUCUCCG